UACGAAGGGGGCUAGCGUUGUUCGGAUUUACUGGGCGUAAAGCGCACGUAGGCGGCCAACUAAGUCGGACGUGAAAUCCCCAGGCUCAACCUGGGAACUGCGUCCGAUACUGGAUGGCUUGAAUUCGGGAGAGGGAUGCGGAAUUCCAGGUGUAGCGGUGAAAUGCGUAGAUAUCUGGAGGAACACCGGUGGCGAAGGCGGCAUCCUGGACCGGCAUUGACGCUGAGGCGCGAAAGCCAGGGGAGCAAACGGG
rnacentral:rRNA from 1 species